GACAGAGGUGCCAAGCGUUAGGCGGAAUCACUGGGCUUAAAGCGUGUGUAGGCGGAAUGGUAAGUACCUUGUGAAAUCCCACGGCUCAACCGUGGAACUGCUCGGUAUACUGCUUUUCUUGAGCCACUUAGGGGCUGUCGGAACAAACGGUGGAGCGGUGAAAUGCGUAGAUAUCGUUUGGAACGCCAACGGUGAAAACAGACAGCUGGGAGUGUGCUGACGCUGGAGGCACGAAAGCCAGGGGAGCGAACGGG
rnacentral:rRNA from 1 species